GAUGAAGAACGUAGCGAAAUGCGAUAAGUAAUGUGAAUUGCAGAAUUCAGUGAAUCAUCGAAUCUUUGAACGCACAUUGCGCCCUCUGGUAUUCCGGGGGGCAUGCCUGUUCGAGCGUCAUUAUAACCACUCAAGCUCUCGCUUGGUAUUGGGGUUCGCGGUUCCGCGGCCCCUAAAAUCAGUGGCGGUGCCUGUCGGCUCUACGCGUAGUAAUACUCCUCGCGAUUGAGUCCGGUAGGUCUACUUGCCAGCAACCCCCAAUUUUUACAGGUUGACCUCGGAUCAGGUAGGGAUACCCGCUGAACUCAAGCAUAUCAAUAAGCGGAGGA
rnacentral:misc_RNA from 1 species